AAACAAAGCCCAUUUUUUAAGCCCAUUUCUCCCCGUCUCUCUCAAGCUCGACAUCAGAAGCCUCCUCUCUGAAGCUCUUGCUCUCCAGUGGCUCUAAACUUCUCUCACGUCUUUCAUCUUCUUCUUCACUCUCUCUGAAUCGCACAUUGCAAAUCUCCAAUCUCGAAUCGCUUUCGCAACUCAAAGAUCCUAUAUGAUUUCUCAAAAUCGGAAUAGAAAUUUCAGUGGUAAUCUUCAUCUCUCUCCCCCUCUCUCUCUUUCUGGCUUUCUUCUUCUCCUAUUUCAUCUGUGCUCUGUGUUUUUGGUUCUCGAGAACCCAUGGAAAAAUGUGAAAGAAUUUCAUCAACUCAUAUACUUUCGCAACCGUGAUUUGCUCGACUAUCGCCGACCCUUACCGAGACUGCUGGAGCCAUCAUCGAUGAGUAUGUUGUUGAGCUGAGGUAUGCAUGGGAAGGGAAAGCAGUGCACUCAAGUUAAUAUCCAUAUUGGAUAGCUAUUAGAAGCAGCAGUCAUUUUAAAAUUUUAUUUGAAAACAGAGUGUGAGAAAACAUAUAAAGUGAGAAUACGAAGGAUCUGCUGAUUGUGGCUUCAUUUAUACAUUUGGAGCAUAAAGAACAUGUGAAGUAUACCUCAGAGUUGACUACUGUGAACCCUCACAUUUUGCUCUCUGGUCCUGCACCUAUGGAUAUAGCUGUGUUCAUUCUAAAAUAAUUCGUUUAUGAUAUUUGGUUUUUGUUCUGAAUGCUUUUGCAGGGUCUGAGAUAUAUCAGGAGAUGCUGGCAAAGGCCCUUGCACAAUAUUUUGGGGCUAAGUUGCUCAUAUUUGAUAGCCACUCUUUUUUUUUUUUUUGGUGUGGUUACAUUGGAGGAAAGAAACCCCACUGGGGUUCGAUCCUGGGUGCCAUGGGGGGAGGGGGAAUCCACCACCACUGUGGUGGGAACCCAUUGUCAUAGCCACUCAUUUUUGGGUGUUGUUCCCAAGACGGGAGAUGACAAACGUUGUUUCCAACAUGAUCCUGCUAAGCCAUAUUUAGGACCUGAUUUCAGGAUUAUUCCUCUGCUGUUUGGAGGGAUUGAAUGUGGAUUAUUAUAAGAACGCUUUCCUUUUCCCUUUUUACAUUUUGUGUUCAUAUCUAAAAAAUGAGAGAUGGUUUUGUGUGUUUUCAGGCUCCGUUGCGAGGUUUAUGAGUUAGUUUCUUUUUUUCGUUGGUUGUAUGAGUUUGCUGUUUUGGGCUUAGAUUUGAGGUCAUCAUUGUUCAGGUCAGCAACUCUGUGUCUUUUGGCCAGGCAGAUUUAGGCAUUGUUUUGGUUUUAUAUGAUAGAUUUGCAAGGCAUUUUGUUGUUCCAAUUGCUAUUGCUUCAUGGUAUGUGACUAGAUUUAUGGUUUGUAACUUGUGAGGUUUAUUCUAUACCAUUGAUGUCAACCCUUAUUGUGAUCCGGCGCGUAAAUUAGUGGACAACAAGUAUUGAACCAUCGGUUUUCCAUUCGUGCCAGCGAAUGGAGAAGUGAACACAAGACCAUUUGAGUUUUUGACAGAGAGGGUGAUGGAUUUGGAUGGUUUUUUUCACAUACAUAGAUGGCCACAAGGCUGUGAAGUUUCCUGUCAAUUUGAGGAUUGGAAGAGUAGGGAAUUAAUUAAUGUUGGCAUUAUUUUUGAAAAGCCUCGAAGAUUGAAAAGUAUUGUAGCUUGGAAAUAAUUUGUGGGCAUCCAUGGACAUGGUUGGAGAAUAAUGUGAUGUGCUCUUCCUAAACAA